AUCUGUGGUUCUGCAGAAGAGACACACCUAUUGCAGGGAAAGAAGAGGACACUGCGCAGAUUGCAAGCGGUGCGUGUGGAUGCUGUACCGUGGUCCAGGCGGCCUGAUUAAGCAGGAGUCUGUGCAUGGGAGGUGGAAUUGGACACCAUGGCCGUGCAGCUGGUGCCGGACUCUGCUCUCAGCCUGCUAAUGCCAGACUGGCAUCCAAAAGCAGCCCUCACAAGGACUUUGCAAAUGUGACUAAGGUAUGGACCCCUGAGAUAGGAAAGAUUGCCUAGCAAUCCGGCUCGACCA